CUGGCGGUGUACUCCCAGGACAGCUCCGACUCGGUGAGGACCUCGUCGCCGAAGUACUCGCCGUCGCCGAGCACCCCGAGCGACCGCUCGGCGCCGUACUCGCCGGGACCGAACUUCCCAAUCUUGCCGUGGGCGAUGAGGAACACCUCGUCGGCGGGCGCGCCCGUCUCGGCGAGCACGUCGCCCGGGGCGUACUCCCGCUGGACGAAGCGGUCGGCGAGACCGGCGAGCGCGCCGCCGUCGAAGCCGCGCAGCGCGGGCAGCUCAGCGAGCUCGCCGGGCACCACCCGCACCUCGGAUCCGACGGAGGUGAACGUGACGAGCCCGUCGCCGAGGACGUAGGUCAACCGCCGGUUGACCCGGUAGACGCCGCCGGCGGUCUGGACCCAGGGCAGCACCCGCAGCAGCCACCGCGAGGUGAUCUCCUGCAUCUGCGGGACGGACUUGGUGGUCGUCGCGAGGUUGCGCGCGGCCGCCGUGCUCAGACUCAGCCGGGGGUCCUCGC
rfam:Frankia alni str. ACN14A chromosome, complete sequence.